UAGCUGAUGAAAGUUCAGCCGGGGUAAAGGCCAAGCUGCCCUGUAGCUAGUAGGCAGGUCAUGGCGAAAUCCAUGGGUUGAAGCCCUACGAAAAGCAUGAAAAAAAAUAAAAAAAAUCAUGCGAAGCAAGCCCGCAGGCCGUAACAUCC
rfam:Paenibacillus sp. MY03 contig29, whole genome shotgun sequence.